AGAUAAAUAAUGAAAAGAGAAUACACAACCUUGUGAUUGCUAGCAGUGAAAGCUCAGAGUUAUGACAUAACAAUUGGUUGGAAAGAACCCAAGGGGAGAUGGGCACAGCAUCCCUUCCUGGGCCUCUUCCUCAGGUGGCACGGGUGGGAAAUCAGGAAGCUCUCAGACAUGGAGCAACUCAGGUGAUCAUGGAACAGAGAGAAGAGGGGCUUGAGCAGAGAGAAUGCUUAGAGGCUAAGCGAUGGGCAAGUGAGAGGGAAAGAGCCGCGACAGAUAGAGCUGGCUGCCUAGGGGUCUCAGAGGCUUCAUCCUGCAGGCGGCAGGACAAAGGGUGUUUCGGAAUCCCGAUGAAGAUUCGAAGGAGUUAAACGCUACCACGCAGCCCGACCUGGAUGGGAUUUGCUCCUGGGUACAAAACGGGACACUGAUCAAAAUCAACUUGGACAAGUGA
rnacentral:antisense_RNA from 1 species